GAUGAACGCUGGCGGCGUGCCUAACACAUGCAAGUCGAGCGAGAACUUGGGAAGUAACACUUCGGUGGAGCGACCUUUGGGAAAGCGGCGGACGGGUGAGUAACGCGUAGGCAACCUGCCCUCAACACAGGGAUAGCCUCGGGAAACCGGGAUUAAAACCUGAUAACACCUUCUUCCCACCUGAGAAGAAGGUCAAAGAUUUAUCGGUUGAGGAUGGGCCUGCGUCUGAUUAGUUAGUUGGUGAGGUAACGGCUCACCAAGGCAGCGAUCAGUAGCCGACCUGAGAGGGUGAUCGGCCACAUUGGAACUGAGACACGGUCCAAACUCCUACGGGAGGCAGCAGUGGGGAAUCUUGCACAAUGGGCGAAAGCCUGAUGCAGCAACGCCGCGUGAGCGAAGAAGGCCUUUGGGUCGUAAAGCUCUGUCCUCAGGGAAGAAAAAAAUGACGGUACCUGAGGAGGAAGCCCCGGCUAACUACGUGCCAGCAGCCGCGGUAAUACGUAGGGGGCAAGCGUUAUCCGGAAUUAUUGGGCGUAAAGAGUAUGUAGGUGGUUUCUUAAGCGCAGGGUAUAAGGCAAUGGCUCAACCAUUGUUCGCCUUGGGAACUGAGAGACUUGAGUGCAGGAGAGGAAAGUGGAAUUCCUAGUGUAGCGGUGAAAUGCGUAGAUAUUAGGAGGAACACCAGUGGCGAAGGCGGCUUUCUGGACUGUAACUGACACUGAGAUACGAAAGCGUGGGGAGCAAACAGGAUUAGAUACCCUGGUAGUCCACGCCGUAAACGAUGAGCACUAGGUGUCGGGGUCGCAAGGCUUCGGUGCCGCAGUUAACGCAUUAAGUGCUCCGCCUGGGGAGUACGCACGCAAGUGUAAAACUCAAAGGAAUUGACGGGGACCCGCACAAGCAGCGGAGCAUGUGGUUUAAUUCGAAGCAACGCGAAGAACCUUACCAGAGCUUGACAUCCUUCUGACCGGUCCGUAAUGGGACCUUUCUUCGGACAGAAGAGACAGGUGGUGCAUGGUUGUCGUCAGCUCGUGUCGUGAGAUGUUGGGUUAAGUCCCGCAACGAGCGCAACCCUUGUCCUUAGUUGCCAGCAUUGAGUUGGGCACUCUAAGGAGACUGCCGGGGAUAACUCGGAGGAAGGUGGGGAUGACGUCAAAUCAUCAUGCCCCUUAUGUUCUGGGCUACACACGUGCUACAAUGGUCGGUACAACGAGUCGCAAGACCGCGAGGUGGAGCAAAUCUUGAAAACCGAUCCCAGUUCGGAUUGUAGGCUGAAACUCGCCUACAUGAAGUCGGAGUUGCUAGUAAUCGCAGAUCAGAAUGCUGCGGUGAAUGCGUUCCCGGGUCUUGUACACACCGCCCGUCACACCAUGGAAGUCGGGGGCGCCCGAAGUUGGUCAACGAAUAGACUACCUAAGGCGAAAUCGAUGACUGGGGUG
rnacentral:rRNA from 1 species